rnacentral:rRNA from 1 species
UGGGGAAUAUUGGACAAUGGGCGCAAGCCUGAUCCAGCCAUGCCGCGUGUGUGAAGAAGGCCUUUUGGUUGUAAAGCACUUUAAGCGAGGAGGAGGCUACUUGGAUUAAUACUCUAAGAUAGUGGACGUUACUCGCAGAAUAAGCACCGGCUAACUCUGUGCCAGCAGCCGCGGUAAUACAGAGGGUGCGAGCGUUAAUCGGAUUUACUGGGCGUAAAGCGUGCGUAGGCGGCUUCUUAAGUCGGAUGUGAAAUCACUGAGCUUAACGUAGGAAUUGCAUUCGAUACUGGGAAGCUAGAGUAUGGGAGAGGAUGGUAGGAUUCCAGGUGUAGCGGUGAGAUGCGUAGAGGUCAGGAGGAGUACCGAUGGCGAAGGCAGCCAUCUGGCCUAAUACUGACGCUGAGGUACGAAAGCAUGGGGAGCAAACAGG